CCAGCCCGAGCUUGGUGCUCUUCCUCCUCCCAGGCAUAGGGAUCCACCCCAGCCGAGGAGGCAGAGCAGAGCAUAUGAGGAAGAGGCAGUUGUGGCAGCGGCGGCUGCUGUAGCAGCAGCGCUGCGCCGGGUUUCCCAGGCAGAGGGAUCCUUGGCAGCCAAGGAGGCAGCGCUGAACAAACAAGGAGAGGCAGCUGUGGCUGAGGUGGCAGCAGAGGUGGCUGUGGCAGCAUCCCUGUGCUGGUUAUAUUCUGGCCCCGUUGAUGGACCCUCUUCUGAGGCACAUGGACUACUUCUCCUUCUGCACAGUGGGUUUUGUCAGCUUGAAAGAGCAAGAGCCUGCCUCAGCCCCUGACUGGUGAUCUCUGAAAAUGAGCCAUACACAUCAAAUAAUAAAAACAAUUUAAAGGA